CUCUUGAAUAUUGGACUCCAAGUGCUUCAGCGUUUGGACACUUAGACUUACACCAGUGGCUUGUCAGGGGCUCUUGGGCCUUCAGCCACAGACUGAAAGCUGCCCUGUAGGCUUCCCUACUUUUCAGGUUUUGGG